rnacentral:rRNA from 1 species
UGGCUAGGUAAGUCCCUUGUUAAAUCCACCGAAUUAAUCGUUGGAUCGCGGGGGAUACUGCUUGGCUAGGGGACAAGAGAGGCAGACGGUAUUUUCGGGGUAGGGGUGAAAUCCUAUAAUCCCGGGAAGACCACCAGUGGCGAAGGCUGUCUGCUAGAACGCGCCCGACGGUGAGGGAUGAAAGCUGGGGGAGCGAACCGGAUUAGAUACCCGGGUAGUCCCAGCUGUAAACGAUGCAGACUAGGUGUUUGGACGGCCACGUGCCGUUCUAGUGCCGCAGGGAAACUGUUAAGUCUGCCGCCUGGGGAGUACGAUCGCAAGAUUGAAACUUAAAGGAAUUGGCGGGGGAGCACCACAAGGGGUGAAGCUUGCGGUUUAAUUGGAGUCAACGCCGGAAAUCUCACCGGGAGCGACAGCAGUAUGAAAGCCAGAUUGAAGGUCUUGCUAGACGAGCUGAGAGGAGGUGCAUGGCCGUCGCCAGUUCGUGCCGUGGGGUGUCCUGUUAAGUCAGGCAACGAUCGAGACCCGCGUCCUCUGUUGCUACCAGCUUUGAGCUGGGCACACUGAGGAGACCGCCACUGAUAAAGUGGAGGAAGGAGCGGGCCACGGCAGGUCCG